rnacentral:RNase_P_RNA from 1 species
GAGCGGGCUGCGCGGCCGCGGCGUAUCCUGAAUACGACGAGGAAAGUCCGGGCAUCGCAGGGCAGGACGCCUGAUAACGUCAGGUGAAGGCGACUUCAAGGAAAGUGCAACAGAAAUAGACCGCCGCUUUGAGCGGCAAGGGUGGAAAGGCGAGGCAAGAGCUCACCGACGGGACGGUAACGCCCCGUGCCAUGUAAACCCCGUCCGAUGCAAGGUUGGGCUGUGUUCACACGGGUUGCCCGCCCGAAUGCAGCCGUGAAUACCGCUUGAGCGUAUCGGUGACGGUACGCGUAGAUAAAUGACCGCGCUCGACAGAACCCGGCUUACAGGCCCGU